AGGACGAACGCUGGCGGCGUGCUUAACACAUGCAAGUCGAGCGGUAAGGCCUUUCGGGGUACACGAGCGGCGAACGGGUGAGUAACACGUGGGUGAUCUGCCCUGCACUCUGGGAUAAGCCUGGGAAACUGGGUCUAAUACCGGAUAUGACCUGCUCUCGCAUGGGGGUGGGUGGAAAGAUUUAUCGGUGCAGGAUGGGCCCGCGGCCUAUCA
rnacentral:rRNA from 1 species